AAAAAAGAAAAAGAAAAUGGUCGUUUCACACACAGAAAACACUUAGGGAAUGGCUUUCUCCAAAGUUUUGAGAUACUUUGCUUUGAUUCACUUCUGAAAUUUUUAGUUUUGUACAAUCAUGUUUAAAAAUCCCUUUAACGCUACAACAACCUAUCUGUGCUUUUGUGGUCUCCAAAAUGCAGGUGCACUAGAGAGGUCACUUUUUAUGUGGAAAAAAAGCUCCUGAUUAGACACACGAGAAAUAACUUCAGUUUAUUUCCUUUGAGAUUUCUCAGACAAGUCAGUAUUCCUUCAGUGUGAGAAAGAAGCCAUGGGCAAUGUGGCAUGACUUGCCACAGCAAGAGAUGAAUUUAUUUUUCCCAUGCUAGCACAAUGUCUGGGCUCACACAUCAGUCCAUAAUUUUGCAUAUUAUUAAAAAUGCAUUGAUUUUGCAUGUCAGUAACAAGAUUUGUGGUAGGUGGCUGGCAUUAUUUGCUGCCAUGAAGCCUAGGAGACUGACUGUAAAAAUGAUAUUUACAGUAUGGACAAUAUCUUUGUAACUAGACAAGUCUGCAUCUCAGCAGACCAUGACACUGAGCUGUUCCACUGAAUGCAAGAUUCCUCAUAGUGUGGCUGUUUUAAAAGCUGUCCAGUUAACAGCAGCACCCAUGGCCCUGCCAAGGCCACCCAUCAGCCACAGUCUGCAGGAGUAUGCAUCUUGUGCAGCAGAGGAAUGCCAGAGCUGGCCAUGCGUUUUCCCCUUCAGGUGGGGACCAUUCUGGUGGAAAGAAGCCCCUGCUGGCGAUGGACCUACUUGCUUCAUGGCUCUUCUGCACAGGAAGAAAGCAGAUGUGGAGUUUCCUUUCUUUAAGUUACUCUUUAAGCAAAGUUGACAAAUGGCAAGCUGGCAACACUGGAAACAGAUUUCCCAUUGAUCCACAAAACAGCUUAUUCUAGCCAUGAGUUUCUUCACGUAAUGAAAUUCCACCUACGGUAAAUCUUCUGAGUUCCUGGCUGUUCCUGAGGUUUAACUCUUCCAAGUCUGGCUCUGCUGAUCUGUCUCCCUCUGUAUCAAUUUAAUUGCAACUCUUUAUGAGAUUGGUAUAGCGGUUCCAUCCUGGAUGUCCUGGACAGGAAUUUUCUUCUGUGUGUGUCAAAUCCAGUUGGAUGAAUUAUGAAUUAAUUAGGUCAGCUCUAUUCUUUAUAGUUCUCUGCUCUAGCUCUAGCACCAAGUUAGGUGCUGUCAGUAAGAAGAAACUGUUUGACCUACUGCAUCUACCUAAGCAACAGAAAGUAGUCUGAACAGAACAUCAGCAGAGAGGUGGUGAUUGUAGUAAAAGCACGAUGAACUGAUGUGUGCAGGAAGCCAACAGACCUUCCCUGGAAGCUUUGGUCAAAUUCUAACUGUCCAGACACAAUAUUAGAGAGCUUUCUCUAGGUACUCCUAUCUUCAAGGUUCUGGGGAUUUUUCCUAUGUAUUUUGAAGUCCUUUCCUUGUGGCAGCCUUUUCUGUCUUAAGAAUAUUUAUCAGCUAUUUGGGAACUUUGUAUUACAUCUGGAAACAAACAAACACAAACCCUGCUAAUUUAUUGAGUAAAAAAGAGCAGAGCAUCUCCUGCAUAAACUUUCCAACCUCUAUCUCAUGCCACUGUGCCUAAAGUACAACAUUUUCUGUGGAAUAUGAGAUCUAUGUCUUCUCCAGGCAGAAGCUGUCCAGCAAGUUUAUAAUAAUGACUGUGAAGUCACCAGAUGCAAUCAUCUGAAUCCCCUCUGCCUGUAAAUCACGAAGGCAUUUUAUCUUUGUGAAAUUAAACUUAAUUCCAAGCAGACAAAUUCAGCUUGAAUAGUUGAUUUGUCUGAGGAAAGCCUUUGAGAACAUACCAAAGAACUGCUAACUUUGUACUUAAGAUAUUAGAGUACUACGAUUUACCUAGUUAUGCUCUUCUUCUUAAAGAGCUCUGCAUUACUGAUCAAUUUUACACUACAACACAAAUGUGACUUCAGUAGCCCAAUCAACAGGCUGAGCACCUUCUCUUUUCCUCUAUCUGUAGGGAAGAAAAAGAAGAAAAUUUUUUCAGGAACAUUCCUUUCACUAUGUUUCGGAGUAUUUAAUAUUUUAAAUACAGAAUAUUUUUCUUAGUUACUGCUCACUAUUUGUUCGUAAAUACUGUCUUGAUUUUUAAUUAGCAGCUUGACAAUUCAGCAAAGAAAUUAACCUGAGAAGAGAGGUGGAGUACACACUAAAUAAACAAGAAAGCAGAGGGGGAAAUUAGUGUAGAAAUGAAGUGACUCACUCAGUGUCUGUGCUGGAGUCAGAAAGUCACAAACAGGAAACAAAUUGGAGUUGAAGAACAUUUUAUCAUCUAGUGAAAUAAGUUUGCAGGGUCAUAAUUUUUCCAUCUAUUCAUUCUUGCCUCGCUUUUCUCCAGUGCAGAUUGCUGAGCUUAUGUAAACCAACAUCCUUCUUUGAUUCAUUCAAACUGCUCUUCAGAAUUCCUCAACUUACAACUGAUGAAAGCAUUAAAAGGAGAGCUACUUGGAUGGACCUAAAAGGUGUAUGUGUGGAAUCUGAUAUGUGUGUUAAAGCUUUGAUCUGUACCUGUAAAUAGUGGAAGGCACUUAUUUCACUGGGAGCAUAUGCUUAAAUGCCUCUGUGAAGCAGAGUUUUACUAGGAAAUUAUGUAAGCUUACUAUUUAUUUAUAUAUUUAGUUUUCCUUUUACGAUCAAUUUAAUUCAGAUCCAUUUAAUUCAGACUAUAAACAUUUUGUGGAAGGAGGUAACCUUUACUGUUUAAGUAUUCUGGCUGCUUAAUACAUGAACAAUUGCCAUAAAUAAAUAAUCAGUCCAGGGCACUGUGUAUGGUACCACCUCUUCUUUUGCUGACUCCUUGAAAAGGGGGAGGCCAGAAAUGACAGGGAAGAGGCUGAAUGCAUAUUUUUUCUUUCCUGCAACAGACUAAGAAACAGACAUCAAGUCAUUUAUAUUGACAGAAUCUGAAUAUUGGCUUGUUUUAUGUGUACAAGAGCUUCUUCUGUGUGAUAUCCUUGUCUUCCCCUUAGGAGCUGUGAACAUUACAUAACUAUCUACGCACUGUGUUACAUUUUGGAAACUUGCAAGGAGGAAUGUGUCACCUGUCAGACAGAUGUCAGUUUGGCUGACUGCUGAGUGCCUUGAAAUAGGCUCUACUCCCUUUUGCAUGCAUUCUCUGUGAAAUGUUUUAACAGGAUGAAGUGAUUUCUCUCAGUUGACAAAGCUGCUCCAGUAAAUGAAAAAUAAUUGUUCUCUCCCAUAAAUUUAUUAAACCACAAUUAAAUUAUUGGUAUCCAAAUGAAACCUGAGCCAUACAUAUCGCAUGGCAUCUAACCCUGUGUACUCAGAUACAGAAUCUAUCACAGCUGAUUUAGUUGUGGAAUAAUAUGAGUUUACCUUACUUCAGGGUAAAUCAACUCUAAAGAGCUUCAGUUGGCGUGGUUAUCACACAAAUUUUUGUGCCAGAGCACUGCGCUCUUGGUAAUAAAAAUAACUGUUCUACUUCCUUUUCUUCUUUUUCUUCUUAAUUUAAAUAGCUUGUUAUUGUGGCCCUGAAUAACUGAUGCUCCAUAAUGUAUCUUACCUUAACAGACCAUGAAUAGUUGGAAAAAUCUUUCUCUGAUUUAUAGUCAGAAAAGGGGGACUAAGUUCAUGACUAAGUUCUGUGAAGGUUGUAGCUGUUUAUCCUGUUCUUGAGUCCAUCUUGAGUGAGAUGAAGCCAUGGAUGACAACAUAUUUAUUUGCAUUGAAACUGGAAAAGGAGAAUUAUUAUGAUGAUACAUUGAGCAGUUUUGGAACAGUUUUGACACAGAAAACUGAUCUGAAUUUGGGAGAUUAGAGUAACUUCCUUUGCGAAUUAGUAUUACUAUUAACUGUCAGUGUCAUACAAACAGCAUCUUUCAAAUGAAGUGUAAUGGUUUGAAAAAAUAUGUAGAACAAAAGAUGAUAGUAAUAUAUGCAACAUUGUAUCUUUCCGCUUACCUAACCUCAAUCUUUUGCUGUAAGCAUUAGUGGAUGCCCAUCUGUCCUGUUCCCAGUGGGUGCUCUGUCACUUUGCACCCCUGGCAGCUCUGUCCAUGAUGCCUGGACAGUGGUCAGCUACAGGGUCCUGCCACAGUUUUGUACCCUCCUCCAAUCUUACAAGCUCUAGUUACUAAGAUGACGCACAUAGAUGCCUUCAAAAUGUCAAAAUGCCUUCAGUUUUUUUUUUUUUUUUUUGUUAAACGUGCAUAUCAGUUUGAUGACAGAUUGCAUAAAUGCAGCUGAGCUCCACAGCAGGAGUCUGAAGACAGACAUAUUUAGUUCUGAAACAAAAUAUGGGUCCCGUUAAUGGAAAUGGUUAGACUUUUGGAUGUUUUAACAAGGUAGGAGAUAAAUUUAGUAAUUGCUAUAAUAACCUUUCCAAAAAAAAUGUUUUUUUUUUUUUUUUUUUUUUAAAGGUUGUCCAGUCCAGCAGUAGGAACACAUUUUAUAACCAAGAUAUGCUGAGGUUAGUUGAUCACCAUGAUGUGUCCUACUAAGUUAAUUCUAGUCUGAAGAAAACCCCAGAAAAUUAAUCUGGUGCAGUUCAGUUAGCUUAUUGAUCAUCUCUGAAGUCCAUAACACAUUAAGUACACAUUGGCAAGUCUUGCUCUGGACUUAUGGAUUGCCAGAAAUUGAUAUUUGCAUAGAUACAUACAUGCACACACACGUAUAUAUAUCCAUAUUUGUUUAUAACAUACUGUAAAAAGAAUCUAGUCUCACACGCUUAUCUUAUAUGAAGAAGUACUGAAGUACCAGACACACAAAUCUUCAUAGCUGGUAUUUGUCUGGUAAAUUUUAAAAGCAGACAUAUAAAGGGCAGAAUACAUAAAUCAUUUCUGACAAUUCCAAAGAAAGACUUUGCUAAAAAAAAAUUAAUACUUUACGAGCUCAAAGACCAUGCGAAGGUUAAGCCAGUUAACGUAAGUGCUCAAGCAUCAUGGGAGUCUCCAUAAAUUAAUGUGACCCAGAAAAAUCCAUUGAUCAAAUAAACAUGCCAGUUAAAAUAAUUGCAUGCAUAUAUUUUUUUAAUGCAAUACAAAUUGAAAAUAAGUAUUUUAGUGAACAGUGUAUUUUUUGACCUAAAGCUAUGAAUCAGUAAACUCUACAAACCAUGGGUAAACCAGUUUCUACCCUGCGUGUGGAACAAGUUAUGGCUUAAGAAGAGUGGUUCAGUGAGCCUCCUCUUAUAAACUAUUACAAACCAAAUGGAGCUCACGUUUGAGAAAAGCCAACAUGGAUUUUCCAAAGAUAAAUCAUGCCUGACUAACCUCAUUACCUUCAACAAGAAAGAAACCCUUUCUGUUCACAUAGGGACAGCAGUGUGUAUUCUUUGCCUGGAUUUCAAAAAGGCAUUUGACACUGUUUCCUUCAGCCUCCUCCUGGGCAAACUAACAAGAGAGAGACUGGAUGAAUGGUCUUCAAAAUGAGUAGGAGAUUGUGUAACAGGCCACACUCAGAAAGUAGUGCUCAAUGGUUUUUACUCAGACUGGCAGCUUGUAGCAGAUAGGCUCCUUCCAAGUAUUGGUACUGGUCCCUGUGCUUUUCAGUGUCUUCAUAUAUGGUCCGGAUGAUUGGAUUGAAAGCAUUUUUGCCAAGUUUACUGAUGGCACUAGAAUGAGUGGUGAAGUGGACAUGUCAGAAGGGAAAGCCAUUUUACGGAGGGAACUGGAUGGGCUGGAAGAGUGGGAAAGCAAGAACUGUGCUAAGUUUAACAAAGGCAGAUCCUUCACUUGGGACUACACAACCAGAGAGCCCAGUACUGGGAAGGAUCUGUGUGAUCAGGGAGCAGUCCUGCUGAAAGAGGCCUGCAGUCCAAGUGGACCAUGAAUUCCCUUCUAGCCUGGGCCGCCUGAUGAUUUUACAAUUGAUUUUAAUAGUGAACCUUCUCUCUACUGCACUUUUUAGCACUCCUGUUGUCUGCUUUAUCUUACAACCACAUUUUCUUAACAACUUUUUUGGUCUAUAUUUACUGUAGUUUGCUCAGUAACAAAGUUACUCUUUGCAAUCAUACAAAAAAAAAAAAAAAAGUGGUCUGUUCUAUUACAUCACAGAGAUUCAGAACUUGCAGUGUUUUUGUUUUUGUUUUUUUUUCUUUUUUUUUCCAUAGACAUGAAAGAUCCAGUAGUCACUGAAUCAAUUGGUACCAACUAUUGCCAUAUGGACUUUGCUGUCCUUACGUAUUAUGUGAAUAGCCUUCACUGCAUUGACUUGAGUGAAUCUUAUUCUUGUACGAGAGACACUAGAAUAGUUUGAGGUACACAAAACAAUCAGUACCUUGAGCCCUCCACUUUUGAAGUUGACAUUUGUUUGACCUUAAUAUUUCCUAUGUAGAACUGAAGAAAUAAUAACUUUAAAAAUUCUUUCAAAAAUCAGCAGGACAGAUCUGUACUAUUCAUUGCCCAGAACUAGCAAUCAGGGCAUUGCAAGCUAAAGUUAAAAACAUAAAACAAGUCAAAAAUCCUAAGAUUGUUGCUUUUGAUAGAUAAGGUAACUGCUAGAAGCACAGUAGCUGAUAUUUUAAACUUCUCUCCAGAGUACAGUAUCCAUUUCACUGAAUCACACGUGGACAAUUCAAUCAAAAAAAUCUGUGUUUAUCCUGGCAAUAAUUCUGGUCACCGUGAAGGGAAACAUUGCCUUUCAAAAUAGUGAUGUUUAGAUGAAUAGUCCCAAAAGAGUGCUCCUUGGUUUUGACAUCAUUACGGAUCCAGAAGUGAAAUCAUUAAAAAACUAAGUCACUAUACAAAAGUAAUGCUAUUCUAGUAAUCCAUAAGAAUUCCUUCCUUGUGCUAAGGUACACCGCAGCUUUUUGUUCAGGGAUGAAAAUCGCGUAUCCUCACCAGGGAAAGAACAUGUGAUCUUGGAAGAAUAUGUACAAUACAGGGCACUAGUGAUGGAGGUGCAGGUUCUUUUUUCACCACAUCCCUUAUUUUUCAUGACUUUGCAGGAACUCCCUAGAAGCCUACAAAUUUAAUACCCCAUGGGGUGUUCCAGGGCAGCUCAGGAGAAAUAUUUCUUAUAGAUAGGAAGCUGAGCAUUUUUCCUCCAAGUCCUUGACAUUAAAAAAGGAUAUUACACAAUGAAUAACAAAAGAAAGGCUGGAGAUAGGUAAUAGAGUAUCUGGACAGGAAGAAGGUUGAUCGGCAGGGUACCUGGAUGUCAGCAUGAUGACGUCCAAAGGCCCAUCUGGUACCCAGAUAGAGGACAGAAAGGGGAUGCUUGGUAGUCAGGGUUUUGAGAUAUACUCAGAGAGUAGAAAGGAGAUUCUGAGUAGGGACAGGAAACACAGAAGAAUCAUUCAUGGGUGGAGAAAUGUGGUGGCCAGGAACUUGCCUAUCAGGAAAAGGUCUAGCCGAACUGUCUUCAAGACCCAUGUUUGUUAUUGCUACAAGAUCAUAAAAACAAAAAACCCAUCCCCAUAACUAGGAUCUCCACACUUUUUUUCCCGUCAACAGUGAAGCAGGUCAACUACCACCCUGUGCUCUGACCUCUUCAAAGCCCAGACAGCUCUUCCCAGGGAAACCUUAGGUAGGUGAUUCAGAUAUUAUUACAAUGCUAGAUGUUCCCUUAAGGAGGCAGGAAUUAUCUAAUCUGACCCCCAAAUGUUCUGUGUACCCACCCAGAGAUUAAGUAGAGAUAAACCACAAGUGACUCUACUAGUCACUAGUCUCUACUUUAAGUCACUGAUAAAGAAGAUUUGACACAGAGGUAAGUCUCCAGUGUGCAAAGGGACUUACUGAAAAACAUACUGAUGCUCCACAUAUCAUGCAUCCUGAGCAACAAGAUUGAGGAAGGUCUGUUGUAAUAAAUAUGGUGUUGACCUUGUAAUUCUUAUUCAUCUCACUUUACUGGUGGCAUCUUCUCAUCAGUGGGGCAUGAAGAAAUUCAGCACAGGUAUAUCUUUCCUCUGUGGGCUGGUGCAGUGCAUCGUUACCUCUGACAGAUUCUUGCAGCCAACUACUGCAGAAUUUAUUUCCGAAACAUUUAAAGGUAUAUUUCAACAUCAUUUUCUCAAAUUCGUAAUCUUGUCUGUCCUUUUGGACAUAAUUUUUAAACUAGAGUAGUACACAUCUCUGAAAGAGAUGUGAAAAAAGCAAUAGGAAUUUCUCAUGAAAAAUCACAUUGUCUGUUAUGAAACUGAACUGAAAUAGAUUAGCUACUAAACCCUGGUCCAAAUAAAAACAGUUUUCGUGACUGGGACUUAGCCAAUGAAAAAGCUAAUUUUUUGGUGAUGUGCACUGAUACCUCACAGGUCAAAUGAUUUUUGAUGAAAACUCCAGUUGGGAAACCCAAGGCAAAAAAAUGAUGUAUGUGUGGAAAUACAAAAAGAGACAAAAAAUUUCUUGUAUGUUUUUUGUCUUCUUUAAUAUGAGGAAAGGUAGAAAAUAUUCUCCAUGGGAAAAAUGAAAGGUCUUGGGACCUCCUCUUUCCUCCUGUUUUCUCUUAUAAGGUUUUCAGGUCAUUUCUUCAGAGCACUAGGAUGAUCCCACGUAUAUAACAUCCCAAUGUCCCAGCAGUCCCAGUACAGCAGUCUGUAUGCCUGUGCUUCUAUUGCACAGAAAGGGCAGCUCUAUUUGAAAGCUAACGCUUGUUCAAAAAAGGGUCUUUUUUUAUUUCUUUUUAAAAGUUGCCAUAAUGUGUUUGACCUGGUAUUAGAGCCCCUUCAAUUGGAUCUCUUUUGUGACUGAAUGAUAACUCCUGUAGAAAAACUUUUUUUUCCUGCUUUUUGUAUUUUCUUUCUUAAAUUUUCUUUCCUUUAGUUUUGUUUUUCAAAUAUCUACUGUCUAGACUUCUUCAGAAGAUUAUGUUUACAUCUUCUUGUGUCUUCAACACUAAAAAUGGACUCAUUCACUUGAAUUAAUUACAAGGAAAAAUAAAGAACUUUAUGCCAUUUGA